AACCACUGCUAGACAUCAAAAUUAGUGUGGGCCGCAUGUACUUGUAGUGAUACCGCGAAAUCGCAGAGUGAGCCACGCCUGGCUUAGAUCAAAAAUCAGAGUUUCCAUAAUCAAACCCGGUUAUGUCCUUAGACUACGUCUAAAAGAGAGGUACGGGCACUGUGAAUAUCAUCUCGCUUUGUGUGGUAGGGCACAGCACAGCGGAUGUCAUUCCAGAUCUAGAGCAGAGUCCAACUGAGGUGGUACCUUACAGAAAACUGCAGACAAAUAACAUUAGAAUCGGUUCAGCGGUUUAAGGGUGAAGAGGUAACAGCUAUUUUAUAAUAGUAAUGAGGGGUUCUAUUAGAUCGUAUCAGUUUUUUCUUUCAAAAUGGCGGUGUCAUACGGGUUUUUGAGUCGACAGAGUUCAAUAGGUAUAUUGUUUUAUCCUUAUUUUAACAGACAAGCCACAUUAAAUGAAAUUAAUCUACAUUAUUUUAUUUUCCUCCUGAGCCAAUGGCUGACAUAUUGUGGUAUAAUUUAGAAGGAUACAAACGUGGAUGAAUACAACAGAAUAAUGUUAAAAUUUAUUUUAUUCAUUAUGUUUUUGGGUUUCAUUGGAGUCUAUUCGGACUCCGAUCUACCUGUACUACCAGUGUACCCGGAUACCUUCGUAUACUCUGGCAAACCCUUUUAUGAAUUUACAUGCAAUGCAAGUUUGAAAAAUGGACAAUGGUUGUCCUGGUAUCAAGAAAAACCAUCAAAAACAGAACCAAUAUUUUUAAGAACAUUAAAGACAGAUAAGGAAGGACCUAAGACGAUCGACUUGCUGCUGCCCAUCGAUCAAUCGGACAAAGGAAGUAUUGUAUACUGCAUCGUACACGACAAACCGAGUACAGGCGAAUAUAUACCAGUAUCCAGAAGCGUAAAUAUCACUAUUGAUUUCCAAAUAAAAAAUGUGCCUCCAA